rnacentral:rRNA from 1 species
AUGAAGCCGCUGCCUACUCCGCCCGCCUCCUCCUGCUGCUCCUCCCCAGAUCCCUACUCCCACCACCGUCGACUCCCUCCGCCGCCCCAGCCUCGCCGCGCCGCCUUCCCCCCACCCGCCCCGCGCCCGUUCGCCGGACUUCUCCGCGCCGCCCGAGCGCGCUGCUCGCCGUCGCCGUCGGCCACCACCGGGCCUGCCGUCGAGCGGUCCCAGCGCAGCAGGAUGGCCGCCUCAGGUACUGAGCAUGCCUACAGCAAUAUUUUGACCAGCCUACCUAAGCCCGAGGGUGGUGAAUACGGGAAAUUCUACAGCCUUCCCGCACUAAAUGACCCAAGGAUCGAUAAGCUGCCCUACUCUAUCCGUAUUCUUCUGGAGUCAGCUAUCCGUAACUGUGAUGGCUUCCAAGUUACCAAGAAUGAUGUCGAGAAAAUCAUUGACUGGGAGAACACAUCUCCGAAGCUGGCUGAGAUACCUUUCAAGCCAGCACGAGUUCUGCUCCAGGACUUCACUGGAGUCCCAGCAGUUGUUGAUCUUGCAGCUAUGCGUGAUGCGUUGGCCAAGUUGGGCAGCGAUGCAAACAAGAUCAAUCCAUUGGUUCCGGUGGAUCUUGUUAUUGACCACUCGGUGCAGGUGGAUGUAGCAAGGUCGACCAAUGCAUUGCAGUCGAACAUGGAGCUGGAAUUUACCCGCAACAGAGAAAGAUUUGGUUUUCUUAAAUGGGGCUCAACUGCUUUCCACAACAUGCUGGUUGUCCCCCCGGGUUCUGGUAUUGUUCACCAGGUCAAUCUUGAGUAUCUUGGCAGAGUUGUUUUCAACACAGAUGGCAUCAUGUACCCUGACAGCGUUGUUGGCACUGAUUCACACACCACUAUGAUUGAUGGUUUGGGUGUUGCUGGCUGGGGAGUUGGUGGUAUUGAAGCAGAGGCUACAAUGCUUGGGCAGCCGAUGAGCAUGGUGUUGCCUGGUGUGGUUGGGUUCAAGUUGACUGGAAAGCUAAGGAAUGGUGUCACUGCUACCGACCUUGUUCUUACUGUUACCCAAAUGCUAAGGAAGCAUGGUGUUGUUGGCAAAUUUGUCGAAUUCCAUGGUGAAGGUAUGGGCAAACUGUCUUUGGCUGACAGGGCCACCAUUGCUAACAUGUCACCAGAAUAUGGAGCUACCAUGGGCUUCUUCCCUGUAGACCAUGUCACAUUGGAUUAUCUCAGAUUGACUGGCCGAAGCGAUGAAACUGUGUCAAUGAUCGAAGCAUAUCUCCGAGCUAAUAAUAUGUUUGUGGACUAUAAUGAGCCUCAAGCAGAAAGAGUUUACUCUUCAUAUCUUGCGCUGGACCUUGAUGAGGUAGAGCCUUGCAUUUCUGGCCCGAAGAGGCCGCAUGACCGUGUCACUUUGAAGGACAUGAAAUCAGAUUGGCAUGCUUGCCUGGACAACAAAGUUGGUUUCAAGGGUUUUGCGGUGCCGAAGGAACAACAGGAUAAGGUUGUGAAAUUUGACUUUAAUGGACAACCUGCUGAACUGAAGCAUGGCAGUGUUGUUAUAGCAGCAAUUACUAGUUGCACAAACACAUCAAACCCCAGUGUUAUGCUUGGUGCUGCCCUUGUCGCAAAGAAAGCUUGCGAAUUGGGUCUCGAGGUCAAACCAUGGGUAAAGACAAGCCUUGCCCCUGGAUCUGGGGUUGUCACUAAAUACUUGCUAAAGAGUGGCCUUCAAGAAUAUUUCAACAAGCAAGGAUUCCAUCUUGUUGGAUAUGGGUGUACCACUUGCAUUGGCAAUUCUGGUGAACUCCAUGAAUCUGUGUCAGCUGCCAUCACAGAAAAUGAUGUUGUUGCUGCUGCUGUGUUGUCGGGCAACCGUAACUUUGAGGGGCGUGUGCACCCUUUGACUCGGGCCAAUUACCUUGCUUCACCACCUCUGGUUGUUGCAUAUGCACUUGCUGGCACUGUUGACAUUGAUUUUGAGAAGGAACCCAUUGGAGUUGGAAAGGAUGGCAAGGAAGUUUUCUUCAGGGAUAUAUGGCCCACAACUGAAGAAAUCGCAGAGGUUGUACAAUCCAGUGUGCUGCCUGACAUGUUCAAGAGCACAUACGAGGCCAUCACAAAAGGCAACCCAAUGUGGAACGAGCUUCCUGUCCCAGAAGCAUCGCUCUACUCAUGGGAUUCAAACUCCAGUUACAUCCACGAACCUCCCUACUUCAAGGACAUGACAAUGUCCCCGCCCGGCCCACACGCGGUGAAGAACGCCUACUGCUUACUCAACUUUGGAGACAGCAUUACCACGGAUCAUAUUUCACCCGCAGGCAGCAUUCACAGAGACAGUCCUGCUGCCAAGUAUUUGCUUGAGCGUGGCGUGGACCGGAAAGACUUCAACUCAUAUGGUAGCCGGCGCGGUAACGAUGAGGUGAUGGCAAGAGGAACAUUUGCAAACAUCAGGAUUGUGAACAAGUUUUUGGGUGGAGAGGUUGGGCCCAAGACUAUUCAUGUGCCCACAGGGGAGAAGCUCUCUGUUUUCGACGCGGCCACGAAAUACAAGUCUGAAGGUCAUGAUACUAUCAUUCUUGCUGGCGCCGAGUAUGGGAGUGGCAGCUCUCGUGAUUGGGCUGCCAAGGGACCAAUGCUUCUCGGUGUGAAAGCGGUGAUUGCCAAGAGCUUUGAGCGGAUCCACCGAAGCAACUUGGUCGGGAUGGGGAUCAUCCCGAUGUGCUUCAAAGCUGGCGAGGAUGCCGACUCACUCGGCCUUACUGGACAUGAGCGAUACACCAUUAACCUUCCGACCGAUGUCAGCAAGAUCCGUCCUGGCCAGGAUGUGACCAUCACCACGGACAACGAUAAAUCCUUCACUUGCAUACUUCGCUUUGACACAGAGGUGGAGUUGGCCUACUACAACCAUGGAGGCAUCCUGCCCUAUGUAAUCCGCAACAUGGCAGGAGCUCAGAACUAA